GAUGAACGCUAGCGGCAGGCUUAAUACAUGCAAGUCGAGGGGCAGCAUGAUUGUAGCAAUACAAUUGAUGGCGACCGGCAAACGGGUGCGGAACACGUACACAACCUUCCAACAAGUGGGGGAUAGCCCAGAGAAAUUUGGAUUAAUACCCCGUAACAUAGCGAUGUGGCAUCACAUUGCUAUUAUAGAUUUUUCGCUUGUUGAUGGGUGUGCGGCUGAUUAGGUAGUUGGCGGGGUAACGGCCCACCAAGUCUACGAUCAGUAGCUGAUGUGAGAGCAGGAUCGGCCAAACGGGAACUGAGAAACGGGCCCGACUCCUACGGGGAGCAGCAGUAAGGAAUAUUGGAAAAUGGCCGCAAGUCUGAUCCAGCCUUGCCGCGUGAAGGAUAAAGGUCCUCUGGAUUGUAAACUUCUUUUAUAAGGGACAAAAAAAGGCUUUUCUAAGUCGUCUGACGGUACCUUAUGAAAAAGCACCGGCUAACUCCGUGCCAGCCGCCGCCGUAAUAC
rnacentral:rRNA from 1 species